rnacentral:misc_RNA from 1 species
CAGAGUUGCAAAACUCCCUAAACCAUUGAUGAACCUACCCCUAAACAGUUGCUUCGGCGGCGCCCGGACAGGCCCGCCGGAGACCACUAAACUCUUGUUUUUUAACACUGGCCUCUCUGAGUUUACUGUACUGUAAUAAGUCA